rnacentral:lncRNA from 10 species
CCGCUCGGCCCCGCCCGCACACGCCUCCUACUUACCUGAGCGGCCCGGGUGCCGCAGCAGGGCGCUGACGAGUCCCGCCGAGCCCCGCCGCCCGGGUUCAAGGCCGCCUUCACGCCCACGAUUCCUUGUUUUUUGGGCAGAGGUCAAGGCUCAACGGAGAGGGAGCCCGGGACCGAGUUGUGGUGGGAGUUUGCUCCUAACACCCGCGAAAUCCUACCUCAAUUCCUCAGAUGGCCUGAGGGAGAAACCGGAGGGCCCGGGAAUGGCGGGGAGCUCCAGUUCAGAGCCGGAACUCCGGACUUCUGCAAGGCCAGACGUGAGGCGACACUGAAUUGCUCCCGAGACGCGGGAAGGGCGAAGGCAAUCGAAGCGAAGAGCUUUAACUCAUCUUCUCCAGGAUUUGGGGCACGGGAACCUGUCUCCUGACCUUCGUGCCUUACCUCGGAGUGUGCUGCCCAGACGGACUUGUGAAUAGCUGCGUCUGUCCCCAUAGUUAACGGGAGAAGGAAACACCAGGAGAAAAGAAGGAAAAGACAGGAAACGGGAAGAGGAGCAGAGGCGAGGAAGGGGAAGGUCAUUUCCUUGGCAGGCCCUCAUCAAAUACCCUUGUAUCUCCUCUGCUGAAUUUGGGGAAGGAAGAAGACACUCACCACACUAAAAAAAGCCAGACCAUUGGGAAGUAUGUCAAUAUCUUC